rnacentral:rRNA from 1 species
GUGGGGAAUAUUGCGCAAUGGGGGCAACCCUGACGCAGCCAUGCCGCGUGAAUGAAGAAGGCCUUCGGGUUGUAAAGUUCUUUCGGUAGUGAGGAAGGUGGUUAGUUUAAUAGGCUAGCCAAUUGACGUUAACUACAGAAGAAGCACCGGCUAACUCCGUGCCAGCAGCCGCGGUAAUACGGAGGGUGCGAGCGUUAAUCGGAAUAACUGGGCGUAAAGGGCACGCAGGCGGACUUUUAAGUGAGGUGUGAAAGCCCCGGGCUUAACCUGGGAAUUGCAUUUCAGACUGGGAGUCUAGAGUACUUUAGGGAGGGGUAGAAUUCCACGUGUAGCGGUGAAAUGCGUAGAGAUGUGGAGGAAUACCGAAGGCGAAGGCAGCCCCUUGGGAAUGUACUGACGCUCAUGUGCGAAAGCGUGGGGAGCAAACAGGAUUAGAUACCCCAGUAGUCC